GACGAACCGUGCGAACGUUGUUCGGAAUCACUGGGCAUAAAGGGCGCGUAGGCGGCUCGCGAGGUCGGGGGUGAAAUCCCACAGCUUAACUGUGGAAGUGCCUUCGAUACCGGCGGGCUCGAGGAAGGUAGGGGUGCGCGGAACUUCUGGUGGAGCGGUGAAAUGCGUUGAUAUCAGAAGGAACGCCGGCGGCGAAAGCGGCGCACUGGACCUUUUCUGACGCUGAGGCGCGAAAGCCAGGGGAGCAAACGGG
rnacentral:rRNA from 1 species